CUGGAGGUUGCCGGUCUAGGAUCGAUCCUAACUUAAAAGAAUCAUGAAGACAUCCAUGGGGGCUUCCUUCAUGUUCUUGUGGUUGCAACUGGACUGGGUGAGCCAAGGAGAAAAUGUGGAGCAGCAUCCUUCUGCUUUGAGUGUUCGGGAAGGAGACAGCUCUGCUAUCAACUGUACUUAUACAGACAGUGCUUCAAACUACUUUUUGUGGUAUAAACAAGAACCUGGGCAAGGGCUCCAGCUCAUCAUAGACAUUCGCUCAAAUACGGAGAAACAGCAAAACCAAAGAUUCACCGUUUCAUUGAAUAAAAUGGCCAAGCACGUCUCCCUGCACAUCGCAGCCACCCAGCCUGGAGACUCUGCUGUCUACUUUUGUGUAGCGAGUACACACUGCUCCCCAGGCACCUGCAUCCUGUACUCAAACCUUUGACUGAAGCUGAAGCCUCAGCUCCUUUCUUUUGGCAUAGUAGUAUUUGCUAUACUGUUUGUUUGUAAAUGGAAGCUAACAUACAGACAUUAAAAGCAUAGAAUAAAAAGGAUGAG